rnacentral:rRNA from 1 species
GACCGCGACCCCAGGUCAGGCGGGACUACC